GUGGCGUAGAAUGUAGGAGUGGCGUAGGAUGCAGGAGCUCUUCCUGCAACUGGAGGGGUUUCUUGUUCAAGCCCCAGCUCUGAACAUCUUAUUUGUUGGGUAUGUGCUGCAUACAUGAAUGUGAAUGAAGCGAUCCAGGGAUGUAAAUGAAUUGGCCUCACGUCCUCAUAGAUGAAUGAGAGAUGCAGUACAUCACCAUUAUAGAUUUUAAAUGAAUGGGAAUCCAUGGUUUCAUCUGAGCAACCACUGUCGCAGUCGUCCAUCAGCUCUUUGCUGACAGAGCCCUCUCAGGGAAGUAAUUACAGGAAGCAAAAGAGGAGCUGCUUCAGGCACAUCCUGGGACUAUCUUCACCUGGAAGACUUCCUUCAACUGUUAAACAAGAUCAGUUUGUUUUAAGGGUUACAAGUUAGGAGAAAUGAAAAGACAAAUUAGACAAACCGGAAGUACCUCUUCAAUCAAUAUUUCACACCCAGCAGCUAAACAUUAGUUGUCAUUAGUGGGUUAAAGACGCUUAAAUAAUAAUACUUCAUAAAGGGUCAUGGAAUCAAUGUCUGUAUCCAGACUGGGCGUGCUACACUCUGGAUAGGUCACAUGUGUCAUCUCAGGGCAACCCAAACCAGUCAAACUAACAUGCAUGCGCUUGGAUCCACUUAGGACCGAAAUUAUCACCUGGAGAAAACCUGAGGGCUUCCCCCUGUGAUUCAACAGUGCUAUAAAAUGUUCCCCUAUACAACACCUUUACAAAGUAGCUCAAUGUGAGUCACCAUGACAGCACCAUCUGAUUCUUAAAACAAUCUUUAAUUUAGGUCUGGGCUUUGACUUUGCUAUUCUCAGUUAGGUCUGAUGUAUACCGUACAGUUGUAGCUCUGGUAGUUACAGUAGUUAAAUGCAUUUCUAUGCAAAAGUUAGCGUCACUCUUUUUCAUAGGAUUUCCUCCGGGGUUGACUUGUGUUUAGCUCAAAACAGCUUCCCUGCCCCUCUCAAAGAAAAGCAUCCGCACAGCAGGAUUCUUCAUACACCGUAUUUCACCUUGAAUAUGGAGAGCUCCAAUAGUGUGCAACAUUUUAUGAAUCAAAUAGGGUCUUAUACACACACACACAAGUUAUGUUUUCUGACUACACAAACUUCUUCUACAAUAUUUUAUGACAUUUGACAGACUUCAAAUGGUGUUUCCUCUAUCUGCUAUUAAUUUUCUUUUUCUAAUAACAGAACUAAGCUAUGUAUCAGAAUGCAUAUAUUUCUAGGUGCAGCCAAAGGCCAAGUGGUUUUCUGGUUUGCGGACCAGCGGAUUUAAUCCCUGGGGUC